rnacentral:rRNA from 1 species
GUGGGGAAUUUUGGACAAUGGGCGAAAGCCUGAUCCAGCCAUGCCGCGUGCAGGAUGAAGGCCUUCGGGUUGUAAACUGCUUUUGUACGGAACGAAAAGACUCUGGUUAAUACCUGGGGUCCAUGACGGUACCGUAAGAAUAAGCACCGGCUAACUACGUGCCAGCAGCCGCGGUAAUACGUAGGGUGCAAGCGUUAAUCGGAAUUACUGGGCGUAAAGCGUGCGCAGGCGGUUAUAUAAGACAGAUGUGAAAUCCCCGGGCUCAACCUGGGAACUGCAUUUGUGACUGUAUAGCUAGAGUACGGCAGAGGGGGAUGGAAUUCCGCGUGUAGCAGUGAAAUGCGUAGAUAUGCGGAGGAACACCGAUGGCGAAGGCAAUCCCCUGGGCCUGCACUGACGCUCAUGCACGAAAGCGUGGGGAGCAAACAGGAUUAGAAACCCGGGUAGUCC